rnacentral:rRNA from 1 species
GACGAACGCUGGCGGCGUGCUUAACACAUGCAAGUCGAACGGAAAGGCCCUGCUUUUGUUGGUCUCUCGUUUGCCGAACGGGUGUGUAACACGUGAGUAUCCUCCCCUUGACUUUGGGUUAUAUCUAGGAAACUGGGGCUAUAAUCCGAUAGGAUCUCUUGCUCCAUGUUGUGGGUUGGAAAGUUCCGGCGUUUGGGGAUGUACUCGCGGUUUACCAGCUGGUUUGUGGGGUAGUGGCUUACCAAGGGUUUGAAGGGUAGCUGGCAUGAGAGGGUGAACGGCCACAAUGGGACUGAGAUACGGCCCAGAAUCCUACGGGAGGCAGCAGUGGGGAAUAUUGCACAGUGGGCGGAAGCCAGAUGCAGAAACGCCGCGUGCGGGAUGACGGCCUUCGGGUUGUAAACAGAUUUCGCAUGUGACGAAGAGUGAGUGACGGUAAUGGGUAAGAAAGCAACGGCUAACUACGUG